UCUUGUGGUUCGGCCGGGCCAGCCAAACCCUAAGAAUGGCGCCGAGCGCGCAGGACGAGGUGUUGAGAUCCAGGUCGAGGGCAGGGCAGGGCGGCGGCGGCGUUUGGCUGGCUGGCGGGCCGGCGCCGCGUGAUCUCGACGCUGGGGCGGCGUGGUGUGCGGCGUCUGCCUAGGUCUUGGGCGGCGCUGCGCACGGAGCUGUGGCCGGUGAUCGCGGCGGCGCUGCAGCGGGUGGCUGUGCAUGGGCUGCUACGUGACGUGACGGCAUUGCUGCUGUUCGAAUUGAAGUUUGGUUGGGUGUGAGUGCACGGGAGGAGGUGAGCAACCCCAAUUCUAGCGAUUUCCGUUCCAAAAUUCCAAUUAGGUUCCACUUAGGUUUCCCUUUGUCAUGCUCUUUCCAAAUUGCUUUGCCAUGCUCCUCCCAAGUAGCUAGUUUGAUGUUCCUGUAAGAGCUGGUACCCAGAGAGCUAUCACUUUUGCUAAGAGCCUUUUUUUUUCAAAAAAGGUUAUCUGCAUUUUACAGCAAUAUGCUUACUUGUGGUUCUAUUCAUGUACUUAACACUGUAACUUCAUUUUCAUAGUUAUACUCCAUUUUUCCCACAGUGGUGGGUGGUUGUGAAUUCGCAGUAGGCCGACCAGUCGUGCAACAGCGCCGGUGAUUCCCGGCGUCAGGUUUCUUUGACCGCUGGCUUGUUUGUUGAUGUGGUUUGCAUGUCCUACCAUCAAAGACGGUUGGAAACCAGGUCUUCGCCGAUGGAGCUCUCCAGUAUCACCACCUCUCCAUAAAUUUGCAGGAAUAUGUGUCCGUUUAUCCUCCCAAUAUGGUUAGAUUUAGUAAAGAAGUUUAGUUAUCUGAAUUUUAAUAUAUCAUGUCCCAGCAGGCAUAGGCUAGGCAUUGCAGUUUCAAUUUUGAUCUCCUCCUUCAAUUUAUUUGUUUUGGUUAUAGAUGUCCUACAAGCUUAAAACUCGAGACUAAUAUCUUUUUUCCUAGUUGGUAUGUGUUCGAGCAGGUGCCGUCCUUGUUUUUGCUCAUAGACCGUGUCAGUAUUAGUUUACUUUUACCCGUCAUGUAGAUGCCAUGGUUGAUGUAAGAGUGUCCAACAAUGCCGCAUACCAUGCACAUCUUGCCUAAAAAGUUUCUUUUCUUCAAAAACUGAAGCUCUUCAAUUUUGAAACUGGGAAGACUUAGUUUUAUGCCCAUAAGUCUCAAUCUUUAUGGAAUUUGUGGCUUCUUUGCUAUGGUUAGUUUUUUUGUUAGUACUAGCUUGUUCUAAUGUAGACUAUUGGCUUGCAUCCCCUUCAUUACUAAUAAAAGUCCCCGUCUACAAACUAGCUUGUAUGAUAUUAUUAAUUGUGUUCCUUAAUUAAAAAAACUGUACGAAUUUUGUCAUGGAUGUAAAUUAUCAUGUCAAGAUUUGAAAUUCAAAAUCCUAGAGAUUUAUGUUUACUUCUUGUUUAGGAGGAGAAAUCAGAAGUUUAAGGUUCCAUUUGUUCUUGUAUAAUUUUCUAAUUUUGAACAUUUACAUAAUUCUAAUAGUUUAUGUUCUCUUUGGUUUACUAAUUCAUUCAGAUUCAGAAAUUACAGUGUGUAAAACCUUUAUUUUUCUAGUCCUUUUUAGUCUGAUGUUGUAACAUGUCAUUUUUGUAUUUAUAUAUUUAUCGAAGUAAUGAAUGUAGAAUUGAUAAGUAUGUCUAGAGGGGAUGAUUAGACUAUAUACUAAGCACAAUAAUGCACUCUUUUCCCAAGUUUUAAUUUAUUGUCAGAGUUUAGGCUUUUCUAGAAAGCUAUAGAGCACCCUACACAUGCAAGUCUAGAGUAUAGAGCGGAAAGUAAAAGACAAAGAGGUAGAGUUGAGAAAAUCGCAAACACAAUUGGCUUGGUGAAGAUUUUUCCUGUAAUUAAGAUAGUUGGUGUUAUCUUACGUCCACACUGAUAGAGACUUCGAUCCACGAAGGAUGUAAGAGCACAAGGAUCUUGGUUGCAAGAUUUCACGGAGGAAUGGUCCAUUUAGGACACUCACCAACGACGUGUCCACAAAGGAGCAACCACACCUAUUCCACCAUGACUUACGUCCAUGAAGGACUAGCCUCCACUAUGGUAGAUCUUCAGAAAAUAGGUGAUCUCCGGGCCCGUACAAACUUUUUGGCUUCUUCACAAACUUGAAGACUUCCAAGUACACCUAGUCGAUUUAGGAGGCGCACACCCUCCAAAAGUAACAAGAUAAUCUCCUCAACACUCGAACUCUCUCAAGAUUUGGCUAUGGAUUUGAAGAGGUAGGAGUGGAAAGAAAGAGGGGACCAGAUCUCAAAGGGUUUGAUUGGAUGGUUGGAGUAGAUGUUCCUUUGAAAUCAGCACAAAGAGGUGGAGUUCUCUCUCAAAACAAAUGAUUGGAGUGGAGCUUGCUUGAGUUGAACUGGUGGGAUAUGUGGGGGUAUAUGUAGGCUGGACCAGAAAUCUGACAAUUACACACAUUUUUGCACAUCUCGGAGGCUCCGACUGAUUUGCUCGGUGGCUUCGUAAUGAACAAAAGCGUCAACUUUUAGAUGCAUCAGUAGGUCCGAAUGAAAUAAAAUGGUGGCUUUGAAGUGAGUACCUCAGUGGUGGCACACUCUGUUUACGCUUCAGAAGUUCCGACUGGAAUGGGUCAGAAUUUUCGAUGUGUAAACAAAGUUUUCCAAGUUGCUUCAGUGGCUCUAAAUGGAAUGUUGAAAGCUCCGAUUGAACUACGGUUUGGAAUCCAUCUGUUUCGGUGGCUCCGAGUAGAAAUGCUUUGGCAACACCGAGUUGCAUGGAAUUAGCUAGAUAUAGUUGAAAACUUUGAGUAGAAUCUUUUAGCUUGUCCAAUACUUGUCUUUAAGCAUUUUCAGUGGUCACCUUCCAUUCCAAUGUUGUACCUAAAAGAACUUUUCCUGAAAUCUCUACUAUUAAAGGAGAAUCGAACGUCGUGAUGGUUCGGCCUCCUUCUUCAGGUUAUCGAUACCUCUUCCCAUGCAGGCACCCUCGUCCCGCUUUUUUUACGCUCCCAAAACCAGCGGCGAGUAAAUGAGGAACCGACCAGUUCACUUUGACCUCCUCUCGUAGAUUCAUACCCGCACGCAACUCCUGAAUUAGCUGGGGCAAAACCGCAGGUCACCGACGUCCUUCUCCGACCUGGAAGACUAUCCCACGUCCCUCACACAGCCACACCCCAAAAUUUCCUCGUGAUGGCCCCGACGGCCGCCGCAACCUCCUCCUGAUACUGCUCCGCCUGAGGACGCCAGAUCCUCCUCAUCCUCCCCACGAUCGCCCCCAAUGCCGCCGGCAGGCCAUGCCGACCGCCCCCAAAUUCCUUGCCAAAUCUUCUGCAUGCGCCACGCCUCCCUGGCGAGGAUUCCCCGUCACGACGACCGCGGCCUGGACGUCGAGCCGGGAUCCCUCCUCCCCAAGAUCCAUUGAUCCAUGGUCAGAUCUCAAAGAGGAGGCGCAGAUGGCGGCUCCAUGGCGACGACCAGUUCGACCGCGGAAGAGUGGUCGAAGAUUCACCUCCAGGACUCGCCUCCUGCCGUGGCCAUGGCCGCUGGCGAGCCCAAGCACGAAAUUUUAGUCCGCGCAUUGGUGUACCACCGCUGAUCCAACUCCUCUCUUGAUCCAAUCCUUCCUCAAUCUUUUGUGUCGCCGUACGCAUCUGCGCUCCCACGGCUGGAGUCGCUCCACCGUCGCCCGUGCCCGCGCUCCCAGCGGCUGCGCUCGGCUCCACCGUCGCGGGCGUCCGCUCGUGCUCGUACAGUGCCACAAAACCAAUGGCGACCGCACAACGUCGACCUCUUGAACGGGGUGAGGUCCUGGGAAGCGGGAAGAGGAGGCGCGCCUCGACUGCAGUGCUGGUUCGUGCACGUAAUGAUGCGAGGACUGGAUGUAUUUCUAAGACCUACUGAGGCUUCAGUUCUCCCCAACUUGAUGGCCACUCCGUGCUUUGAUUCAAUGAUUACAAACAGGGAUUUCUGCUUGCAGAUCAAUAUUCAAUCAUGGCAAGUAUGUAUUGUGCUAUUUCCUUUUGUCAAUAUUAUGUUUUAACCAAGCAAGUCAAACAGUUUGUGUUAGUUCCAAGCAAGCAGGAUGGUGAUAUGUAGUCAUGUCUUAGUUCAUGCUUUCUACUUAAAAAUGUUUUAAGAACUCAGUGGACCUACUUCCACUCCGAGGACCCAUGCCAUGAAUGUUACUUGUGCAAUUUCAGCUUCCAGAUUAUAAUGAGGAUCAUGCAGCUGUAGGUGGAAUGCAAUGAACUGGAGUACGAGCUGAACCCCGGCGAACUCCAGUUCCGCGAAAGGGAUUAAGUGCUCAAGGUAUGAUAUAAUUUAUUUCCAUUUUUGGUUCAAAAACUGAAUAAAAAGUGAAAUCGAAUAAGAGGGGCUGAUUGUGAACAUUUUCGGUCAAAGAACAUAACAAAAAAGGAAAUUAAAAUGGAGCAACUUGGUCUUCUCUGUUCUCUUGCUACAUAAAUACUUGCAUAUGAACCGCUAAGUUUUUCACGGUUGUGCCCUACUUUACUAUUUGAAUCUUGGUAAGGUGCCAGAAAUAUCUUUUUGGUAAUAAUGGAGGCCUAAUGAAGGUUGGGUGAUUCUGCCUGAUGAGGUUAUCCAAGAUCGCUCCUGAGAAGGUGAAACUGGUGAACCACAAGGCCCUUGUCGACAGCUUCAGUAAGCCCACUUUCAGUAACAUCAAAACAAGAAAUAUACAGAUAGUAAUCCUUGACGGACAAUCUUAAUUGUAUUCUUUUGUAUUUUUUUGGUUACUACACUGCACCUGAGCUGUAUAGAAACAAAGUGUUCGACAUGAGUACGCAUACACAUUCGGCUUCAUCCUUUAUAAGGCUGGCCUUGUGUUCAGAUGGAAGUUUUGCACAAACAAUCUUUUCAUAUCCCAUUACGACCAUGGAGUUCUGUUGCAAGAAUACUUGACAAUGUUUUUUCCUUUAACUACAGAGGUAGUGUCCCACAUUUAUUUUUCUUUUGUCUGCAUUAUCAAUAAGCUUCCAUGGUUAACGAUUUUUUUCCUUCCACUAGAGAGGAAUGGAUCCGCAAGUUUUCUUUUUGUGGUGAUUUUGUUUUGGUGCGUUAUCAAUCAGAUUCCAUAGUAAUUAGUGGAGUUGAAGGGCUCCCGACGUUUCCAUUUUUGGUGCUAACCAAUCAGAUCUCCGGCUGGCAUAGUAGCUUAUGAGCACACGUACCCAGCAGCAUCAAAGGAGUACUCGGUUUCAGAGUUAAUUUAUGUAAGUCUGGCACACCUAAAUACACAUUUGAUUCACUGCUGGGUGUUGAAUAAAAACUAGAAAAGGGAGGAGCAACUCAAGCGAAUAAAAGGUAGAGGAAUGAACAAGUAGGCAGGGAUUGGAGGCCGAUCCUCCAAGGCAACAUCAAGGUAAAGCAAUUAAACUGAAUUUGUGGCACCAAUGAAUAUAUGAACUAGCUUGUUAAGACCAACUUAUCUGAACUGAUGUGUGAAAAGCGGGACAGUGACGAAAUGCCAGGAACUCAAAUGGAAAGACAGUUGUAAAAUACAUUCCGAAACACUCACAUUGAUUUACACUUUUUAGAGCUAAUUCAAAAUUAAUCCUUCUGAAUGUGGCGAAAACACGCUUGACUUCACACUACAUUUUACUGAAGAGGCUCAUGAUCAACAUGUUGGGACCGUGAGUACACAGUGGAAAGGAAAGGCAAAGGUUGGUGAUCGACAUGCCAGAACAACAACAGAUCUGGUUACUUUACAAUCAAGGAUGGUGUUCUUUGAGAUCAGGGUCGACAUUGCAAUCAUGAAGCCAUUCUAUUUGCUUAUCAAAUUCGGCGACAAGGAGAUAAAGGAUGUGAAGAAAAAGAGAGAUCUCCCUCACAAGGGAGGUUUCCCCAAGGUAACUGAGAUAAUUCUUAAUUGUUGGGGUAGGAUUGGACAUUCAUUGCUUAGCUUUUGCCAUUUGCCCUAAAUAUUAUGACCCCAAUAUAUCUCGACGAAUGCUCCUGGGGGCAUUGCAAGAAAAACUCCAAUUCAUGACAGUGAGGUUAUGCCUGUUGUUAUAUCCUUCAUUGGAAACAAGGGGAUUUUUUUGAUCCUACGGUUCUCUGGUCUAUAUAAUUUGUUACUGACUGAAAACAAACAUGCUGGUGUUUCCACUAACUGACAAAUAAUAAACUCUUGUUUGUCUGGUUUACAUGUGUUUCCAGAAUCGGUACUUCAACUACAUGUUGUUUUCUUUGUAAAAAUGGCCAUGUGUUUGAUAAAUGCUAGAUAGAUUUUGGAGGUCAUUCAAGGGAAGCGGUAAGCUGUAACAAUACGGGCCAACUCGUGGAGACUAUGAGCAUCAACAUGCUAAAUGGAGGAACUGAAAAGGGAGAGGGAAGGGAGAUUUAUAGAAGAAGAGAGAGAAUCAGUUCUAUUACUGUAUGGAUGGAAACCUCACGCCAUCUUGUCCAACACAUUUCUGCAUUGCAACAAUUAUUUGAUUGCUAAUGUUUUUUUAUUCCUUGGCAACA